UUAUCAACCGCCUCUUUCUCUCUCUAUUCUUUUCCUUCACUGCUUCACACCGAAACCCUAGCCUCCGUGUUCCUUUGGCUUGAAGCUUCUACAUCUCAUUUUCUAUGAAAACAUACGCUUGUGCUUGAAUCGACUGAUAAAGGAAACACGCUUUGCCCUUUCCAAUUCCUGCUCUCAAACCCUACUGUCCGAAUACACAUCUUCCCCUUCACGUUUCCUGCCGAUCAAUCGAUUUAUCAAUCCUAUAAUAUACUAAUCUCAUCAAUGUAAGUUUCUCUCUAUUACUUGCUCUCUACACCCUCUUCGAUCGCUGCUUUGGUUUUCCCUGGUAUGUAACACUUUGACAAUUGUUUUAUGGUUUGAUUUGGGGGUUUUAGGGUUUUGUUACUUUAGGUUUAUGUUUUGAUUGGUGCUUUAAUUUGCGUUGUUUUUUUUUUAAAAAAAAAAAUUGGCUGUUUAGGGUUAUGUUCUUGCUUUUUUUGUUAUCGAGUGUUUGAUUAUGAGGAAAAGAACAUCAGAUUCAUAUUUGAAUAACUAAAAUAAAUUCAUGUUUAUGCUAUAAGUAUAUGUUGUGUCGGGUUCAAGACAUUUUGAUUAUGGGGUAUGCAUCUUAUUGGUAUUUAUUUAUUGGCGUAUGUAUACGAUCAGAUAGUUAAAAUGUUGGUUCAAACAAUACUACAUUUGUAUUCAUACUUGAGGUAGUGUUGCAAUGUUGUUGUAGUUUUAGAUGUCAAGAAAAUGAGUAAUUUGUUGUAUUAACAGGUUGAAAGCCAUCAUCAAUUUGGUGUAGAUGGGUAUUCAAGAAAAUAAAGGCAUAAGUGGGAGUUUGGGUUCGUUUCUUACUCGCAGAUGCUUUGGUUGUCUUAUGAGGGGCUACUUAGAAGGUUUUGGUGUGUGCUGCCUCCUUUAGAAGAAGAGGAUGUUCCUCAACUAUACCCAAAAGGGCCAAAUCUUGGUGAGUGAGCUUGAGAAACAGUUGAAAAUGGAGAUAAAAUCAAGAAACAGAGCCAGAGCCGAAAAGAUCUGUCUAAUGAGAAUAAGAGUCAGAAAGAAAGAUGGAGCUGAAGAUCUUUUAAAAAAGAAGAUGACAAUGGGACAUUUGUCACGGAUAUCUUAAGCUUGAAAAUACACUGUUGGAAGUGCAGCUCCUCGUGUUAAAAAUACUUAAAAUAUGUGAUUUUGGGUAUUCAAAGUUUGAUCACAAAUGUUGCAGCCGCUCCUCUCACCGAUCGACCUGAUCACAAGUGCAGGAUUCCGGCGACAUUCGAUUAGGAUUCCGGUUAGGUCAAUUUGAAUUCAGCGAGUGGUUGCAAUUGAUAAGAUUUGAUUAGCAUGGAACAUCGAAAGGAUGAGGUUGUUGAGAGGAUCAACUUUAGAUCAUAAAAUGAUGCACUCAUAGCUGCGACUUCAAGAUGGAAAGGUUGAACAUGAUCAUACAAGAGAUGGUGAAAGAAAAAGAAGAGAAAGAAAGGUUGAACGGAAGGAUGACAAAUGUUGAACGAUGCUAAAAAUUAGGUAUCAAAACGUCUAAUCAUCGAGUUGGUUAUAAGCACUUUAUUUUGGAUAUGUAUUUUGUUCGGAGAACUCAUGUAUUUAAUUUGAUGUUUUAAGUGGAAUGCUUUAUAUAAUUUUGA
rnacentral:lncRNA from 1 species